ACGGGGUGCAGCAGGCGCGAAAACUCCGCAAUGGGCGAAAGCCCGACGGGGUUACCCCGAGUGCCACCCUCGUGGUGGCUUUUGCCCGCUCUAAAAAGGCGGGCGAAUAAGGGGAGGGCAAGUCGGGUGUCAGCCGCCGCGGUAAUACCCGCUCCCCGAGUGGUGGAGGCUAUUACUGGGCCUAAAGCGCCCGUAGCCGGCCCGGUGUGUCCCUCGUUAAAUCCACGGGCUUAACCCGUGGGCUGCGGGGGAUACUACCGGGCUUGGGGGUGGGAGAGGCGCCCGGUAUUCCCGGGGUAGGGGUAAAAUCCUCUGAUCCCGGGAGGACCAUCAGUGGCGAAGGCGGGGCGCCAGAACACGCCCGACGGUGAGGGACGAAAGCUGGGGGAGCAAAGGGGAUUAGAUACCCCCGUAGUCCCAGCUGUAAACGAUGCGGGCUAGGUGUUGGACGGGCUUCGAGCCCGUCCAGUGCCGUAGGGAAGCCGUUAAGCCCGCCGCCUGGGGAGUACGGCCGCAAGGCUGAAACUUAAAGGAAUUGGCGGGGGAGCAC
rnacentral:rRNA from 1 species